rnacentral:rRNA from 1 species
UACGGAAGGCAGCAGUGGGGAAUAUUGCACAAUGGGCGCAAGCCUGAUGCAGCCAUGCCGCGUGUAUGAAGAAGGCCUUCGGGUUGUAAAGUACUUUCAGUCGUGAGGAAGGUGUUAAGGUUAAUAACCUUAGCAAUUGACGUUAGCGACAGAAGAAGCACCGGCUAACUCCGUGCCAGCAGCCGCGGUAAUACGGAGGGUGCGAGCGUUAAUCGGAAUUACUGGGCGUAAAGGGCACGCAGGCGGUUAAUUAAGUUGGAUGUGAAAUCCCCGGGCUUAACCUGGGAAUGGCAUUCAAGACUGGUUAGCUAGAGUCUUGUAGAGGGGGUAGAAUUCCAUGUGUAGCGGUGAAAUGCGUAGAGAUGUGGAGGAAUAUCGGUGGCGAAGGCGGCCCCUGGGACAAAGACUGACGCUCAUGUGCGAAAGCGUGGGGAGCAAACAGGAUUAGAUACCUU